GNAAAGNAAGAUGUGAAAUNCCAGGGCUCANCNUGGAACUGCAUUUUUAACUGCCGAGCUAGAGUAUGUCAGAGGGGGGUAGAAUUCCACGUGUAGCAGUGAAAUGCGUAGAUAUGUGGAGGAAUACCGAUGGCGAAGGCAGCCCCCUGGGAUAAUACUGACGCUCAGACACGAAAGCGUGGGGAGCAAACAGGAUUAGAUACCCUGGUAGUCCACGCCCUAAACGAUGUCAACUAGCUGUUGGGGCCGUUAGGCCUUAGUAGCGCAGCUAACGCGUGAAGUUGACCGCCUGGGGAGUACGGUCGCAAGAUUAAAACUCAAAGGAAUUGACGGGGACCCGCACAAGCGGUGGAUGAUGUGGAUUAAUUCGAUGCAACGCGAAAAACCUUACCUACCCUUGACAUGUCUGGAAUCCCGAAGAGAUUUGGGAGUGCUCGCAAGAGAACCGGAACACAGGUGCUGCAUGGCUGUCGUCAGCUCGUGUCGUGAGAUGUUGGGUUAAGUCCCGCAACGAGCGCAACCCUUGUCAUUAGUUGCUACGCAAGAGCACUCUAAUGAGACUGCCGGUGACAAACCGGAGGAAGGUGGGGAUGACGUCAAGUCCUCAUGGCCCUUAUGGGUAGGGCUUCACACGUCAUACAAUGGUCGGGACAGAGGGUCGCCAACCCGCGAGGGGGAGCCAAUCUCAGAAACCCGAUCGUAGUCCGGAUCGCAGUCUGCAACUCGACUGCGUGAAGUCGGAAUCGCUAGUAAUCGCGGAUCAGAAUGUCGCGGUGAAUACGUUCCCGGGUCUUGUACACACCGCCCGUCACACCAUGGGAGUGGGUUUCACCAGAAGUAGGUAGCCUAACCGUAAGGAGGGCGCUUACCACGGUGGAAUUCAUGACUGGGGUGAAGUCGUAACAAGGUAGCCGUAUCGGAAGGUGCGGCUGGAUCACCUCCUU
rnacentral:rRNA from 1 species